AUUGAACGCUGGCGGCAGGCCUAACACAUGCAAGUCGAGCGGAGCGGCGGACGGGUGAUUAAUGCCUAGGAAUCUGCCUGGUAGUGGGGGAUAACGUCCGGAAACGGGCGCUAAUACAGCAUACUAUCAGAUGAGCCUAGGUCGGAUGAGCUAGUUGGUGGGGUAAAGGCCUACCAAGGCGACGAUCCGUAACUGGUCUGAGAGGAGGAUAAGUCACACUGGAACUGAGAAACGGUCCAGAAGCAUACGGGAGGAAGCAGUGGGGAAGAUUGGACAAUGGGCGAAAGCAUGAGCCAGCCAUGCGGCGUGGGUGAAGAAGGUCGUCGGAUGGUAAAGCACAUUAAGUUGGGAGGCGUUACCAACAGAAUAAGCACCGGCUAACUUCGUGCCAGCAGCCGCGGUAAUAC
rnacentral:rRNA from 1 species